AGUGAACGCUGGCGGUAGGCCUAACACAUGCAAGUCGAACGGCAGCACAGUAAGAGCUUGCUCUUACGGGUGGCGAGUGGCGGAUGGGUGAGGAAUACGUCGGAAUCUACUUUUUCGUGGGGGAUAACGUAGGGAAACUUACGCUAAUACCGCAUACGACCUACGGGUGAAAGCAGGGGAUCUUCGGACCUUGCGCGAUUGAAUGAGCCGAUGUCGGAUUAGCUAGUUGGCGGGGUAAAGGCCCACCAAGGCGACGAUCCGUAGCUGGUCUGAGAGGAUGAUCAGCCACACUGGAACUGAGACACGGUCCAGACUCCUACGGGAGGCAGCAGUGGGGAAUAUUGGACAAUGGGCGCAAGCCUGAUCCAGCCAUACCGCGUGGGUGAAGAAGGCCUUCGGGUUGUAAAGCCCUUUUGUUGGGAAAGAAAAGCAGCAGGUUAAUACCCCGCUGUUCUGACGGUACCCAAAGAAUAAGCACCGGCUAACUUCGUG
rnacentral:rRNA from 1 species